rnacentral:rRNA from 1 species
UGGGGAAUUUUGGACAAUGGGCGCAAGCCUGAUCCAGCCAUGCCGCGUGUCUGAAGAAGGCCUUCGGGUUGUAAAGGACUUUUGUCAGGGAAGAAAAGGGCGGGGUUAAUACCCCUGUCUGAUGACGGUACCUGAAGAAUAAGCACCGGCUAACUACGUGCCAGCAGCCGCGGUAAUACGUAGGGUGCGAGCGUUAAUCGGAAUUACUGGGCGUAAAGCGGGCGCAGACGGUUACUUAAGCAGGAUGUGAAAUCCCCGGGCUCAACCUUGGAACUGCGUUCUGAACUGGGUGACUAGAGUGUGUCAGAGGGAGGUAGAAUUCCACGUGUAGCAGUGAAAUGCGUAGAGAUGUGGAGGAAUACCGAUGGCGAAGGCAGCCUCCUGGGAUAACACUGACGUUCAUGCCCGAAAGCGUGGGUAGCAAACA